rnacentral:rRNA from 1 species
AGAGUUUGAUCCUGGCUCAGGAUGAACGCUAGCGGCAGGCUUAACACAUGCAAGUCGAGGGGCAGCAUGAGGAGUAGCAAUACACCUUGAUGGCGACCGGCGCAAGGGUGCGUAACGCGUGAGCAACAUGCCCGUAUCAGGGACAUAACCGGUGGAAACGCCGCCUAAUUUCCCAUAACAUCAUUUGUGACAUCGCAGGUGGUUGAAAGAUUCGUCGGAUACGGAUUGGCUCGCGUGAUAUUAGUUAGUUGGCGGGGUAAAGGCCCACCAAGACGACGAUAUCUAGGGGUUCUGAGAGGAAGGUCCCCCACAUUGGAACUGAGACACGGUCCAAACUCCUACGGGAGGCAGCAGUGAGGAAUAUUGGGCAAUGGUCGGAAGACUGAACCAGCCAUGCCGCGUGAAGGAUUAAGGCCCUAUGGGUCGUAAACUUCUUUUGUACGGGAGCAAUAAGGCCUACGUGUAGGCCGAUGAGAGUACCGUACGAAUAAGCAUCGGCUAACUCCGUGCCAGCAGCCGCGGUAAUACGGAGGAUGCAAGCGUUAUCCGGAUUUACUGGGCGUAAAGGGCGCGUAGGCGGUCUUGCGUGUCAAGUGUGAAAUCUCCGGGCUCAACCCGGAAAGUGCGCUUGAAACUACAGGACUCGAGUCUGGGAGAGGGAAUCGGAAUGCAGGGUGUAGCGGUGAAAUGCGUUGAUAUCCUGCAGAACACCGGAGGCGAAGGCGGAUUCCUUGAACAGUACUGACGCUGAGGCGCGAAAAUCGGGGGGAGCAAACAGGAAUAAUUACCAUGGAAGUCCCGGCCUUAAAACGGUGCACACUCGGGGGUAGGGCCAUUUCCCCGGGUCCCGUCCCUUAAGCUAAACCCGUUAAGUGUGCCGCCUGGGGGAGUACGGCCGCAAGGCUAAAACUCAAAGAAAUUGACGGGGGCCCGCACAAGCAGAGGAGCAUGUGGCUUAAUUCGAUGCAACGCGAAGAACCUUACCUGGAUUUGACAUCGUCGGCAAUGCCCUAUGAAAGUAGGGCGGAGGUUAUCCGAUAGACAGGUGCUGCAUGGCUGUCGUCAGUUCGUGCCGUGAGGUGUUUGGUUAAGUCCACCAACGAACGCAACCCCUUUGAUGUGUUGCCAGCGGGUCAAGCCGGGAACUCGCAUCAUACUGCCUGUUUACGCAGGAGGAAGGUGGGGAUGACGUCAAGUCAGUAUGGCCCUUACAUCCAGGGCUGCACACGUGCUACAAUGGCCGGUACAGAGGGACGCGAGACCGCAAGGUGGAGCCAAUCCCAGAGAGCCGGCCUCAGUUCAGAUCGGGGUCUGCAACCCGACCCCGUGAAGUCGGAUUUGCUAGUAACGGCGUAUCAGCUACGACGCCGUGAAUGCAAUCCCGGGCCUUGCACACACCGCCCGUCAAG